UUCAUAUUUAAAAUACAUUUUUACCUUUUUUUGGUUUAUUAAUAUUUAUUAAGUAUUUUUGUGUUGUAGCCACUGCUGUUGGGGAACCAAUAGCAACUGCAAUUCCACUCAACUUCCCAAGACCGUGUAACUGUAGAGUGAAGGGAAAAGAAACGAUUAUUACACGCUGCCUUUGUCUGCAGCCUGGCAGACGCAACGGCAAGAAACAAAAACUGAAAGCAGUGUGCCAGGGGGAAAAAAAUAAGAAUCUGAAGAAGUGCUGGUUUCCCAAACAAAAGAAGGUCGCUAAGAAGAGGCACCUCGGUCCCAGUCCCCCUAUCUGAACAACACUAAGAAGAACUACAUGCAUUUCCUUAUAUGCAGUGAUGUGCAUGCAUUGAUCACUGUCAUAUGUAUUUCUCUAUAUAC